rnacentral:rRNA from 1 species
CCUACGGGAGGCUGCAGUCGAGAAUCAUUCACAAUGGGGGAAACCCUGAUCGUGCGACGCCGCGUGGGGGAAUGAAGGUCUUCGGAUUGUAAACCCCUGUCAUGUGGGAGCUAAUUAAAGAGGUAGUACCACAAGAGGAAGCGACGGCUAACUCUGUGCCAGCAGCCGCGGUAAUACAGAGGUCUCAAGCGUUGUUCGGAAUCACUGGGCGGAAAGCGUGCGUAGGCUGUUACGUAAGUCGUGUGUGAAAGGCGCGGGCUCAACCCGCGGACGGCACAUGAUACUGCGAGACUAGAGUAAUGGAGGGGGAACCGGAAUUCUCGGUGUAGCAGUGAAAUGCGUAGAGAUCGAGAGGAACACUCGUGGCGAAGGCGGGUUCCUGGACAUUAACUGACGCUGAGGCACGAAGGCCAGGGGAGCGAAAGGGAUUAGAUACCCUGGUAGUC